rnacentral:rRNA from 1 species
UGGGGAAUAUUGGACAAUGGGCGCAAGCCUGAUCCAGCCAUGCCGCGUGAGUGAUGAAGGCCCUAGGGUUGUAAAGCUCUUUCACCGGUGAAGAUAAUGACGGUAACCGGAGAAGAAGCCCCGGCUAACUUCGUGCCAGCAGCCGCGGUAAUACGAAGGGGGCUAGCGUUGUUCGGAUUUACUGGGCGUAAAGCGCACGUAGGCGGACUUUUAAGUCAGGGGUGAAAUCCCGGGUCUCAACCCCGGAACUGCCUUUGAUACUGGAAGUCUUGAGUAUGGUAGAGGUGAGUGGAAUUCCGCGUGUAGAGGUGAAAUUCGUAGAUAUUCGGAGGAACACCAGUGGCGAAGACGGCUCACUGGACCAUUACUGACGCUGAGGUGCGAAAGCGUGGGGAGCAAACAGG